CACGUAGGGGGCGAGCGUUGUUCGGAAUCAUUGGGCGUAAAGGGCGUGCAGGCGGUCCUGCAAGUCCGGCGUGAAAGACCCCGGCCCAACCGGGGGGACGCGCUGGAAACUGCAGGGCUUGAGUACAGGAGGGGAUGCCGGAAUUCCAGGUGUAGGGGUGAAAUCUGUAGAUAUCUGGAAGAACACCAAUGGCGAAGGCAGGCAUCUGGCCAUGUACUGACGCUGAGACGCGAAGGUGCGGGGAGCAAACAGGUUUAGAUACCCUGGUAGUCCGCACAGUAAACGAUGUGCACCAGGUGGCGGGGGGUCGACCCCCGGUACCGUAGCUAACGCAUUAAGUGCACCGCCUGGGGAGUAUGCUCGCAAGGGUGAA
rnacentral:rRNA from 1 species